rnacentral:rRNA from 1 species
AUGAACGCUGGCGGCGUGCCUAAUACAUGCAAGUCGAGCGAACAGACGAGGAGCUUGCUCCUCUGACGUUAGCGGCGGACGGGUGAGUAACACGUGGAUAACCUACCUAUAAGACUGGGAUAACUUCGGGAAACCGGAGCUAAUACCGGAUAAUAUAUUGAACCGCAUGGUUCAAUAGUGAAAGACGGUUUUGCUGUCACUUAUAGAUGGAUCCGCGCCGCAUUAGCUAGUUGGUAAGGUAACGGCUUACCAAGGCAACGAUGCGUAGCCGACCUGAGAGGGUGAUCGGCCACACUGGAACUGAGACACGGUCCAGACUCCUACGGGAGGCAGCAGUAGGGAAUCUUCCGCAAUGGGCGAAAGCCUGACGGAGCAACGCCGCGUGAGUGAUGAAGGUCUGCGGAUCGUAAAACUCUGUUAUUAGGGAAGAACAAAUGUGUAAGUAACUAUGCACGUCUUGACGGUACCUAAGCAGAAAGCCACGGCUAACUACGU